UACGAAGGGGGCUAGCGUUGUUCGGAUUUACUGGGCGUAAAGCGCGUGUAGGCGGGUCGUUAAGUUGGGGGUGAAAUCCCGAGGCUCAACCUCGGAACUGCCUUCAAAACUGGCGACCUGGACCUAAGUAGGGGCAAGUGGAAUUGCGAGUGUAGAGGUGAAAUUCGUAGAUAUUCGCAGGAACACCAGUGGCGAAGGCGACUUGCUGGACUUAUGGUGACGCUGAGACGCGAAAGCGUGGGGAGCAAACAGG
rnacentral:rRNA from 1 species